rnacentral:RNase_P_RNA from 2 species
GAAGCGGGUCGGGUAACCGCCGCUCACCGUAAGGUGGGGGGAGGAAAGUCCGGGCUCCACAGGGCAGGAUGCUGGCUAACGGCCAGGCGCCGUGAGGCGACGGAAAGUGCAACAGAGAGUAGACCGCCGAUGGCCGCAGGGUGUGCAAACGCUCUGCGGAUCAGGUAAGGGUGAAACGGUGCGGUAAGAGCGCACCAGCGUUCCGGGCAACCGGGCGGCUCGGUAAACCCCAUCCGGAGCAAGACCAAGCAGCAGGCGUUGAGACGGCCCGUCGAGCCUGCGGGUAGGUUGCUUGAGCGUGUCAGUAAUGGCUCGCCUAGAGGAAUGGUUACCGCCAGAAAUGGAACAGAACCCGGCUUAAAGACCCACUUCGCAC